rnacentral:rRNA from 1 species
AACGAACGCUGGCGGCAGGCCUAACACAUGCAAGUCGAGCGCCCCGCAAGGGGAGCGGCGGACGGGUGAGUAACGCGUGGGAACGUACCCUUUGCUACGGAAUAGCCUCGGGAAACUGGGAGUAAUACCGUAUGUGCCCUUCGGGGGAAAGAUUUAUCGGGGGAUGGAUGAGCCCGCGUUGGAUUAGCUAGUUGGUGGGGUAAUGGCCUACCAAGGCGACGAUCCAUAGCUGGUCUGAGAGGAUGAUCAGCCACACUGGGACUGAGACACGGCCCAGACUCCUACGGGAGGCAGCAGUGGGGAAUAUUGGACAAUGGGCGCAAGCCUGAUCCAGCCAUGCCGCGUGAGUGAUGAAGGCCCUAGGGUUGUAAAGCUCUUUCACCGGUGAAGAUAAUGACGGUAACCGGAGAAGAAGCCCCGGCUAACUUCGUG